UAUGACUGUAUAAAUUUCUUUGUUAAACAAUGAACGAGACGAAUUACGAAUUGUAAAAAUUAUGUUUACGAGAACUGCGAGAUAUGCGCAUCUAAUUAUACAUCAACAUUUAGUAGGUGCGAGUGUCUGGAAAAUAGCAGCUGCGACAGAUAAUUAAAUUUGAUCGAGCUAAUAGGUAUUAUCCGUGGACUUCCUCAACAAUGAAAUUUCGAUGUUCUCGGGAAACCUUACCAGGCGUCGGCAUUAAUCAGUUGUAAGCGAAAAUGUUCCAGAAAUGUAAUAUUGGCGAUGCACGAUAUAAAUAUACGUUGGUAAGAAGAACAAAGAAGGGAUAGAAAUUCAGCAGACAAAAGUUUGCUUGCUGGCAUUGAAAGUUGCAAACUAUGGAUCUUUGAGUCAGAGAGUAGGGGUUGGAAACUCAUGUUGCUCAGGAUUUGCUGGCGAGAUUAUAAAAAGUACGAAGGAGAAACCAUUCACGACUUGACCUUUUGUCAACUAGACGAUGAGCUGUAAUCAGAUAGAAUUAUUAAUUCAUUAAACAGUUAUUAAUUAAACGAAUAGAAUCCUCAACCCUCAGGUUCUGAUGAAAUUUCGUCGAAUUGCAAAAUAGCGAGGAUAAGAUCUUCCUUAAAUUAUGUAUAUCAGAG